AGGGCACCACCAGGAGUGGAGCCUGCGGCUUAAUUUGACUCAACACGGGAAACCUCACCCGGCCCGGACACGGACAGGAUUGACAGAUCGAUAGCUCUUUCUCGAUUCCGUGGGUGGUGGUGCAUGGCCGUUCUUAGUUGGUGGAGCGAUUUGUCUGGUUAAUUCCGAUAACGAACGAGACUCUGGCAUGCUGACUAGUUACGCGACCCCCCGAGCGGUCGGCGUCCCCCAACUUCUUAGAGGGACAAGUGGCGUUCAGCCACCCGAGAUUGAGCAAUAACAGGUCUGUGAUGCCCUUAGAUGUCCGGGGCUGCACGCGCGCUACACUGACUGGCUCAGCGUGUGCCUACCCUACGCCGGCAGGCGCGGGUAACCCGUUGAACCCCAUUCGUGAUGGGGAUCGGGGAUUGCAAUUAUUCCCCAUGAACGAGGAAUUCCCAGUAAGUGCGGGUCAUAAGCUUGCGUUGAUUAAGUCUCUGCCCUUUGUGCACACCGCCCGUCGCUACUACCGAUUGGAUG
rnacentral:rRNA from 1 species